UUACCACUUUGUGUCUUGACAAGA
rnacentral:siRNA from 1 species